rnacentral:rRNA from 1 species
AUGGAAGCAGCAGACGAGGAGAGGCCACUUCUGAACCACCGUUGCCUGCCUCCACAGCCGCAGGACGAGUGUUCAAGAUACACCAGUGAUGGAACAGUUGAUGUCUACAGACAGCCUGCUCUCAAGCAGAGCACCGGCAACUGGAGAGCAUGCGUCUUCAUCCUAGGCGCCGAAUUCAGCGAGUGCUUGUGCUUCUUCGCCGUCUCCAAGAACUUGGUCACCUACCUCACGACGGUGCUCCACGAGAGCAACGUCGACGCCGCGAGGAAUGUGUCCACCUGGGUCGGCAGCUGCUUCAUCACGCCGGUCGUCGGAGCUUUCUUGGCCGAUUCUUAUUGGGGACGAUACUCGACAAUUGCAAUCUUCCUCUCUGUUUACAUCUUUGGGAUGCUCAUCAUGACAUCAUCGACGGCGCUUCCCUGGCUCCUGCCUCGUUUUUCCGACGAGAGCAGUGGUGUCCAUCGCGCCGCCGUAUACCUGGGGCUCUACCUUGUCGCCCUCGGCACCGGCGGGAUCAAGCCCUGCGCCACGGCCCUGGGCGCCGACCAGUUCGACGUUGCCGACCCGGCGGAGCGGGUGGCCAAGGGAUCCUUCUUCAACUGGUACUACUUCUCGAUCAACAUCAGCUCGCUGCUGUCGGCGACGUUGCUCGUAUGGGUGCAGGACAACAUCGGGUGGACCGUCGGGCUCGCGAUCCCGACGGUGCUCAUCGGGUUCGGCCUCGCCGUAUUCGUUGCCGGCGGGAAGAUAUACAGGUACAAGCCACUGGGAGUGGGAGGUAGCCCGCUGACGAGGGUCUUCCAGGUGGUUGUCGCCGCCGCAAGGAAUUGCCGUCUCGAGCUGCCCGAUGAUGCCUCGGCCCUGCACGAACAUGGCGGGGCGGAGCAUACCAGUCAAUUCAGGUUCUUUGACAAGGCUGCGAUCGUGAUGCCGUCGACGGAGAAGAAGGGCCCGUGGCGGCUCUGCGCGGUGUCGCAGGUGGAGGAGCUGAAGAUGCUGCUGCGGAUGUCCCCCGUCUGGGCGUCGACGCUGGUCUUCUUCGCGGUCACCGCGCAGAUGUCGUCGACGAUGAUCGAGCUGGGGAUGGCCAUGGACAACCGCGUCGGCACCUGUGUCGUGCCGCCGGCGUCGAUCUCCACCUUUGACAUUGUCAGCGUCCUCGUCUGGGUUCCCAUCUACGACGCCGUGCUGGUGCCGCUCGCGCGGCGCGUCACCGAUCAGGACAGGGGCUUCACGCAGCUGCAGCGCAUCGGCGUCGGCCUUGCUCUGUCCGCGGCCGCCAUGGCGUACGCCGCGUCGGUCGAGACGAGGCGGCUGGCGGCGGCGCCGGAGACCUCGAUGAGCAUCAUGUGGCUGGCGCCGUGCUACUUCGUGCUGGGCGCGGCCGAGGUGUUCACCAGCAUCGGCAUGCUCGAGUUCUUCUACGACCAGUCCCCGGAGUCCAUGAAGAGCCUGGGUGUGGCGCUCGCGCAGCUCGCCGUCGCUGGCGGGAACUACCUCAACUCUGGCCUGCUCGGCGCCGUCGCGUCGGCCACGGGGUGGAUCCCGGACAACCUCGACCAAGGCCACCUUGACUACUUCUUCUGGUUCAUGGCGGCUCUCAGCGUGCUUAACCUGUUGCAGUUCGUCUACUGCCACUAG